UACGUAGGGUCCGAGCGUUGUCCGGAGUUACUGGGCGUAAAGGGCGCGCAGGCGGCGGUGCUGGCCCGGCGUGAAAGCCCCCGGCUCAACCGGGGAGGGUCGUCGGGGACCGCACCGCUUGAGGGCGGUAGGGGCCGGUGGAAUGCCUGGUGUAGUGGUGAAAUGCGUAGAGAUCAGGCAGAACACCUGGGGCGAAGGCGGCCGGCUGGGCCGUCCCUGACGCUGAGGCGCGAAGGCUAGGGGAGCAAACAGG
rnacentral:rRNA from 1 species